CCUACGGGAGGCAGCAGUGAGGAAUAUUGCGCAAUGGGGGAAACCCUGACGCAGCAACGCCGCGUGGGUGAAGAAGGCCUUCGGGUCGUAAAGCCCUUUCGGACGGGACGAACGCUCCGCGGUGACAACCCGCGGAGUCUGACGGUACCGUAAGAAGAAGCACCGGCUAACUCCGUGCCAGCAGCCGCGGUAAUACGGAGGGUGCAAGCGUUGUUCGGAAUUACUGGGCGUAAAGCGCGUGUAGGCGGCCUUGCAAGCCAGACGUGAAAGCCCUCGGCUUAACCGGGGAAGUGCGUCUGGAACUGCUCGGCUCGAGUACGGGAGAGGGAGGCGGAAUUCCCAGUGUAGAGGUGAAAUUCGUAGAUAUUGGGAGGAACACCGGUGGCGAAAGCGGCCUCCUGGACCGAUACUGACGCUGAGACGCGAAAGCGUGGGGAGCAAACAGGAUUAGAUACCCUGGUAGUCCACGCGGUAAACGAUGGGCACUAGGUGUGGGGGGUAUCCACUCCUCCCGUGCCGCAGCUAACGCACUAAGUGCCCCGCCUGGGGAGUACGGCCGCAAGGUUAAAACUUAAAGGAAUUGACGG
rnacentral:rRNA from 1 species